GGGAUACCACUUGGAAACAGGUGCUAAUACCGUAUAACACUAUUUUCCGCAUGGAAGAAAGUUGAAAGGCGCUUUUGCGCCACUGAUGGAUGGACCCGCGGUGCAUUAGCUAGUUGGUGAGGUAACGGCUCACCAAGGCCACGAUGCAUAGCCGACCUGAGAGGGUGAUCGGCCACACUGGGACUGAGACACGGCCCAGACUCCUACGGGAGGCAGCAGUAGGGAAUCUUCGGCAAUGGACGAAAGUCUGACCGAGCAACGCCGCGUGAGUGAAGUAGGUUUUCGGAUCGUAAAACUCUGUUGUUAGAGAAGAACAAGGAUGAGAGUAAAACGUUCAUCCCUUGACGGUAUCUAACCAGAAAGCCACGGCUAACUACGUGCCAGCAGCCGCGGUAAUACGUAGGUGGCAAGCGUUGUCCGGAUUUAUUGGGCGUAAAGCGAGCGCAGGCGGUUUCUUAAGUCUGAUGUGAAAGCCCCCGGCUCAACCGGGGAGGGUCAUUGGAAACUGGGAGACUUGAGUGCAGAAGAGGAGAGUGGAAUUCCAUGUGUAGCGGUGAAAUGCGUAGAUAUAUGGAGGAACACCAGUGGCGAAGGCGGCUCUCUGGUCUGUAACUGACGCUGAGGCUCGAAAGCGUGGGGAGCGAACAGGAUUAGAUACCCUGGUAGUCCACGCCGUAAACGAUGAGUACUAAGUGUUGGAGGGUUUCCGCCCUUCAGUGCUGCAGCA
rnacentral:rRNA from 1 species